GGACGGGUGAGUAAUGCUUGGGAACUUGCCUUUGCGAGGGGGAUAACAGUUGGAAACGACUGCUAAUACCGCAUAAUGUCUUCGGACCAAACGGGGCUUAGGCUCCGGCGCAGAGAGAGGCCCAAGUGAGAUUAGCUAGUUGGUAAGGUAAAGGCUUACCAAGGCGACGAUCUCUAGCUGUUCUGAGAGGAAGAUCAGCCACACUGGGACUGAGACACGGCCCAGACUCCUACGGGAGGCAGCAGUGGGGAAUAUUGCACAAUGGGGGAAACCCUGAUGCAGCCAUGCCGCGUGUGUGAAGAAGGCCUUCGGGUUGUAAAGCACUUUCAGUUGUGAGGAAAAGUUAGUAGUUAAUACCUGCUAGCCGUGACGUUAACAACAGAAGAAGCACCGGCUAACUCCGUGCCAGCAGCCGCGGUAAUACGGAGGGUGCGAGCGUUAAUCGGAAUUACUGGGCGUAAAGCGCACGCAGGCGGUUUGUUAAGCUAGAUGUGAAAGCCCCGGGCUCAACCUGGGAUGGUCAUUUAGAACUGGCAGACUAGAGUCUUGGAGAGGGGAGUGGAAUUCCAGGUGUAGCGGUGAAAUGCGUAGAUAUCUGGAGGAACAUCAGUGGCGAAGGCGACUCCCUGGCCAAAGACUGACGCUCAUGUGCGAAAGUGUGGGUAGCGAACAGGAUUAGAUACCCUGGUAGUCCACACCGUAAACGCUGUCUACUAGCUGUGUGUGAUUUUAAAUCGUGAGUAGCGAAGCUAACGCGCUAAGUAGACCGCCUGGGGAGUACGGCCGCAAGGUUAAAACUCAAAUGAAUUGACGGGGGCCCGCACAAGCGGUGGAGCAUGUGGGUUUAAUUCGAUGCAACGCGAAGAAACCUUACCUACACUUGACAUGCA
rnacentral:rRNA from 1 species